CUCCUCUCAGGGUUGCACCUGGAGAGUUUCCAGUACUCUACCAGUCUCGGCUACAGGAGGGAGAGUCAAGCAAAGUCAUAAUAUCCAUUCCAUUCCUAGCUUGGGCAGUGGCUAGUGAGUAGAAGGCAAUCUGCUACAAAA